rnacentral:lncRNA from 1 species
UUUCUCGCUUCAUCUGUGCCACUUCUCUGCAUUCGGUAUGGCGCCUUGUACUUCUAUCCAACGUUGCCCGCUCCCCAUCUUCCCUGCCCACCAGCUCACUGCCCUCGGUCCGCAUCUCCGGAUGUUUCGUGAGAUAUGGAGCCUGCCACCAGGGAACCGGAUUUUUCCGUCUCGUCCAUGGAAGCACGGGUGAUGGCCGCAUGCGCAGUGAUAACUCAGCGACUCGCGCCUUUUGACCACUGUUGAGAUGAAGAUUGUGAGGAGGGAGACCAGAAGAUAACAGACGAGGACACAGCAGAAGGGCCUGGUAAGGUCCCUUUAGUUGGAUUACCUGGGGAGACCUGAGGCAUGUUUCCAAGGGCUGUGGCUGCCUGU